GCGUCCUCCCCAGGCUGAAGUGUCCUCAGGUUUCAUGUGGAUUUGCCCAGUAAUGGAUGGCUCCACCGAGGCCAGGUUGGGGAAGUUCAGCCUCGAGGACACUAGGGGACGAAAAACUUCAAAAAGAAGACUCUUUUUAUUAAUAUUUUGGCGUUCUUUUUGGAGAGGAACUUUUGGGAUGUAGCCUUUACCUGUUUCCUGAAUUUGACAUCCAAAAAGCCUUUUGGAAAACACCAUUCUAAAUUUAUCCUGUUCUGAAUCAUCAUCGCUUCUGAUAGAUGCAGUUGCUUGCUGACAUCGUGAUCUUUGAUUUUGUACAACGCUAUUUGGGCUAACUUUUGGGAUUUUACUUUGUGCUUAGAAUUUGAAAGUAGUAUUCAUUGGAAAGAGACUCCAAGAAAAUACUCGAAGACAUCAAAAGCUGGAUUCGAGGGUAUAACGUGUUUUGUUUUGUUUUUUAAAUUAGAAAAAUAAGGAAUUGCAGUGUGAUUUUCUUUCCCCCUUUAACUUAGAGGAACGAGGAUUAUACAGAAAUUUGAAAUUUCAACAAGAAAAACUUAAGCUUCCUUGGAUUCCCACGUCAAAGGAAAGUUUCAAGCUUUCAGAAGGAGUUCUCACUCGAAGAUAAAGAACAGCUCGCUAACCACGAAAGAGGAAUCGAUGCUCAGCUUUUAGUUGCACUUCCUAAAGUUGCAGAAUUAAGACAAAUCUUUGAACC
rnacentral:lncRNA from 1 species